AUGCUCACUUUAACAGCAUACAUACUGGAAUUGGAAUGAUCCAGAGGAGAUUAGCAUGGCCCCUGAGCCAGGAUGAUAUGCAAAUUCAUGAAGCUUUCCAUAUUUUU